UACGAAGGGAGCUAGCGUUGUUCGGAAUCACUGGGCGUAAAGCGCACGUAGGCGGAUGUGUCAGUCAGGGGUGAAAUCCCGGAGCUCAACUUCGGAACUGCCUUUGAUACUGCAAAUCUCGAGUCCGGAAGAGGUGAGUGGAAUUCCUAGUGUAGAGGUGAAAUUCGUAGAUAUUAGGAAGAACACCAGUGGCGAAGGCGGCUCACUGGUCCGGUACUGACGCUGAGGUGCGAAAGCGUGGGGAGCAAACAGG
rnacentral:rRNA from 1 species